UACGUGCCAGCAGCCGCGGUAAUACGUAGGUGGCAAGCGUUGUCCGGAAGUAUUGGGCGUAAAGGGCUCGCAGGGGGUUUCUUAAGUCUGAUGUGAAAGCCCCCGGCUCAACCGGGGAGGGUCAUUGGAAACUGGGGAACUUGAGUGCAGAAGAGGAGAGUGGAAUUCCAGGUGUAGCGGGGAAAUGCGUAGAGAUGUGGAGGAACACCAGUGGCGAAGGCGACUCUCUGGUCUGUAACUGACGCUGAGGACCGAAAGCGUGGGGAGCGAACAGGAUUAGAUAC
rnacentral:rRNA from 1 species